rnacentral:snRNA from 1 species
GUGCUUGCUUCAGCAUCACAUAUACUAAAAUUGGAACAAUACAGAGAAGAUUAGCAUAGCCCCUGCACGAGGAUGACAUACAAAUUCUUGAAGCAUCCCUUAUUUUU